UAGGUGGUCAUAGAGGAAAGACUUCUAGCAUGUCCAUUCCUUAUCAGCCAUGUUACUGAAUUUAUUUUGAAGCCAAGCACUACCAAAGCUGAAUUGUGGCUCCUCCCUUUGGGGACUAGGACAGAGUAUAAAGCCAACUGAAGGGUUAGACAGCGUGUGACAGAACUUCCCCCUCCUGUGUGAUGAAUUUAUAACUUCGUGAAUCUCGCAAUACUGAGUGAGAGAUGAUGGCGUCAAGCCUAUGUGUGGUGGGGAACUGUUAUGGAAUCUUCGUGCUGUACCCAUUUGCAACUCGUUAAUCUUCAAAAGGAAAGUAAGAACAGUACCAUCUGGCCAUUACAUGUCCGCACUACUUGCUUUGCCUAAAGCAAGGAACAUUUACUUCAAAAUCUCCGGACCUUGAACUCUAGCCAGCUUCCAUAGAAGUCACACACAAUUUCAUUUAAACGAUUUGAUUUAUGCAAGACUGGUUACUGUACAUAAUUUCCUGGUUAUAUAUUUGUAAUAUUUAAUUAUAUUCUGAUUGACAUCCAAUUUUAAUUAAUUAUGAUUUCAUUAAUUGCAUCAUGAGUACUCUGAUAAUAAACGGAGUCUAAACUUAAACCUCCUCGACUCUGUACUCUGUUUGUGUCCAAGCAUUUUCCUGACAAUU